GAUGAACGCUGGCGGCGUGCCUAAUACAUGCAAGUCGAGCGAACGGACGAGAAGCUUGCUUUUCUGAUGUUAGCGGCGGGCGGGUGAGUAACACGUGGAUAACCUACCUAUAAGACUGGGAUAACUUCGGGAAACCGGAGCUAAUACCGGAUAAUAUUUUGAACCGCAUGGUUCAAAAGUGAAAGACGGUUUUGCUGUCACUUAUAGAUGGAUCCGCGCUGCAUUAGCUAGUUGGUAAGGUAACGGCUUACCAAGGCAACGAUGCAUAGCCGACCUGAGAGGGUGAUCGGCCACACUGGAACUGAGACACGGUCCAGACUCCUACGGGAGGCAGCAGUAGGGAAUCUUCCGCAAUGGGCGAAAGCCUGACGGAGCAACGCCGCGUGAGUGAUGAAGGUCUUCGGAUCGUAAAACUCUGUUAUUAGGGAAGAACAGAUGUGUAAGUAACUGUGCACGUCUUGACGGUACCUAAUCAGAAAGCCACGGCUAACUACGUG
rnacentral:rRNA from 1 species